AGUGAACGCUGGCGGCGUGCCUAAUACAUGCAAGUCGAACGGAGAUUAAGUAGCUUGCUAUUUAAUCUUAGUGGCGCACGGGUGAGUAAUAUAUAGCUAAUCUGCCCUACACUAGAGGACAACAGUUGGAAACGACUGCUAAUACUCUAUACUCCUUCUUUACACAAGUUAAGUCGGGAAAGUUUUUCGGUGUAGGAUGAGGCUAUAUCGUAUCAGCUAGUUGGUAGGGUGACGGCCUACCAAGGCUAUGACGCGUAACUGGUCUGAGAGGAUGAUCAGUCACACUGGAACUGAGACACGGUCCAGACUCCUACGGGAGGCAGCAGUAGGGAAUAUUGCUCAAUGGGGGAAACCCUGAAGCAGCAACGCCGCGUGGAGGAUGACGCUUUUCGGAGCGUAAAMUCCUUUUCUUGGGAAAGAAUUAUGACGGUACCCAAGGAAUAAGCACCGGCUAACUCCGUGCCAGCAGCCGCGGUAAUACGGAGGGUGCAAGCGUUACUCGGAAUCACUGGGCGUAAAGGACGCGUAGGCGGAUUAUCAAGUCUCUUGUGAAAUCUAACGGCUUAACCGUUAAACUGCUUGGGAAACUGAUAAUCUAGAGUAAGGGAGAGGCAGAUGGAAUUCUUGGUGUAGGGGUAAAAUCCGUAGAGAUCAAGAAGAAUACCCAUUGCGAAAGCGAUCUGCUGGAACUUAACUGACGCUAAUGCGUGAAAGCGUGGGGAGCAAACAGGAUUAGAUACCCUGGUAGUCCACGCCCUAAACGAUGUAUACUAGUUGUUGCUUCGCUAGUCGAGGCAGUAAUGCACCUAACGGAUUAAGUAUACCGCCUGGGGGAGUACGGUCGCAAGAUUAAAACUCAAAGGAAUAGACGGGGACCCGCACAAGCGGUGGAGCAUGUGGUUUAAUUCGAAGAUACGCGAAGAACCUUACCCGGACUUGAUAUCUAACAAAUCAUCCAGAGAUGGAAGAGUGUCUGCUUGCAGAAAUGUUAAGACAGGUGCUGCACGGCUGUCGUCAGCUCGUGUCGUGAGAUGUUGGGUUAAGUCCCGCAACGAGCGCAACCCACGUCAUUAGUUGCUAACGGUUCGGCCGAGCACUCUAAUGAGACUGCCUUCGUAAGGAGGAGGAAGGUGUGGACGACGUCAAGUCAUCAUGGCCCUUAUGUCCGGGGCGACACACGUGCUACAAUGGCGUAUACAAUAAGACGCAAUAUCGCGAGAUGGAGCAAAUCUAUAAAAUACGUCCCAGUUCGGAUUGGAGUCUGCAACUCGACUCCAUGAAGCCGGAAUCGCUAGUAAUCGUAGAUCAGCCAUGCUACGGUGAAUACGUUCCCGGGUCUUGUACUCACCGCCCGUCACACCAUGGGAGUUGAUUUCACUCGAAGCCCAAAUACCAAACCGGUUAUGGUCCACAGUGGAAUCAGCGACUGGGGUG
rnacentral:rRNA from 1 species